UAAAAAAAGAAAUCAAGCUGGCUCAGUGCGUGUCUCAACAGCCCACUUUGACAGGCGCUCCUCACCCCCUUUGGAGGACUGUCAACAGCAAGAGGAUGGCAUCAGAGCUGGCAAUGAGCAACUCCGACCUGCCCACCAGUCCCCUGGCCAUGGAAUAUGUUAAUGACUUCGAUCUGAUGAAGUUUGAAGUGAAAAAGGAGCCGCUGGAGCCCGAUCGCAGCAUCAGCCAGUGCAGCCGCCUGGUCGCCGGGGGAUCCCUGUCUUCCACCCCGAUGAGCACGCCCUGCAGCUCGGUUCCCCCCUCUCCAAGCUUCUCGGCGCCCAGUCCGGGAUCAGGGAGCGAGCAGAAGGCGCACUUGGAGGAUUUCUACUGGAUGACCGGCUACCAACAGCAGCUCAACCCCGAGGCUCUGGGCUUCAGCCCGGAGGACGCCGUAGAGGCGCUGAUCAGCAGCAGCCACCCGCUCCAGAGCUUCGACGGCUAUGCCAGGGGGCAGCAGUUCGCCGGGGGGGCGGCCCCGGCGGGCGCCAUGGCCGGGGAGGAGAUGGGCUCGGCGGCCGCCGUGGUGUCAGCGGUCAUCGCUGCGGCCGCGGCGCAAACCGGCGCGCCCCACCACCAUCACCACCACCACCACCACCACGCGGGGGCACACCACCCGUCCUCCGGGUCCCAGUCCGGCGGCGGAGGCGGCGGCGGCGGCGGCGGCGGCGGCGGCGGCGCAGGGGGCAACAACAACAACAACCACCACCACCACCACCAUCCGCACCUGCGCCUGGACGAUCGCUUCUCGGACGAGCAGCUGGUCACCAUGUCGGUGCGGGAGCUCAACCGGCAGCUGCGCGGGGUCAGCAAGGAGGAGGUGAUCCGUCUCAAGCAGAAGAGGAGGACGCUUAAGAACCGCGGCUAUGCCCAGUCGUGCCGCUACAAGCGGGUGCAGCAGCGGCACGUCCUGGAGGGCGAGAAGACGCAGCUGAUCCAACAGGUGGACCACCUCAAGCAGGAGAUCUCCCGGCUGGCCAGGGAGAGGGACGCCUACAAGGAGAAGUACGAGAAGCUCAUCACCACCGGCUUCAGAGAAAACGGGGGCUCCGGCAGCGACCACAACCCCUCGUCCCCGGAGUUUUUCAUGACGUCGAGAAAAUUCCUCCAUCUGUGAUCGAGAAUUUGGACUUCAACGUCCCGUCACCCUCAGUCAGAGAAAUCCUUCCACUGGAACGCUGAUGUUUCAAGAUGGACGUACAGCACGCGGACUGCCAUAAAGCACAAGAGGGCCCGGACCUGGGCUGUGAUCUCGCCCUGCGCCACCAGGCGCUCGCUCAGCUCCCACAGGCCGGCAGCAGCGUCCGGGUCCUGGGCCUGGACGGAGGGCUCGCAGCGGAAGCAGUUGUUGAAGUACAUGCCCCCCAGGCCCUCCAGCUCGGGAGCCACGGCGCAGUACACGGUAGUGGCGGCGCCUUGUUGCUGCAGACAGAAACAAAACACACACAUGAACUCAGAAAAGGAAACAAAGAACACACAAAGUGGACAUGCUGCCUCUCCUGUACAUAUAUUUAUAUACAUAUAUUUAUUUAUCUAUGUCUCUACUGGGUGUCUAUGGGUCCAUGAGAACAAGAACACCAUGAUGGUGUGGAUGUUUUUCCUUUUGUAUGCCGUGAACCCUCACAUAUUUGCAGAAUUUUUUGGGAACCUAUUCAGCGUUUUUGUGCUCAUCUCAUACAGAAAUACUGCUUUGGUGCCAUCCGGUGGCAUCUUAGUGCUUGACUUAAUCGGGCUAUUUCAUUGUCUAAUAGAACACUAGUGCUUUACCACCAUUUUGUGUUAUCUCUAGGCAACUGCUAACCAUUUUUUUGCCGGUGUCAAUUAUUGGCGUCAGGGCUCGGUCUUCAUCCCAGGCGAAUAGCAAGGGUUCACUGUAUACGUGAAAGGACAAGGUUAUAAAUAUGUAUAUUUUUCACAUGGAAUUAAGGUGGUGAGUUAGUUGUUAGCCUCGCAGUUCUGAGAUUCGGGGUUCGAUCUCAGCUCUGGCCUUCCCCCGUGCUUGCGUGAACAUUCUUCAGGCUUCCUUCCCAUGCUCCAAACAAACACACAUAUUAGGUUCAUUAAUGACUCGAAAUUGUCAAAAGGUGUUAAUGUGAGUCUGAAUGCUUCUUUGUCCAGACGGGCCCUGUAAUUGCUCGCCGACCAGUCUGGGGUGUGCCCCACCUUUCUCGCUUAAAGUCAACUGAGAUAGAGAUAGACUCCAGCUCACCCGCCACCCUGAGGAGGACAAGAACUAUAAAAAUAAUAAUAGAUAAACGCAACUAUAGUGAGAACUGUCUGGGACCCAAAAUUGAGCCUUGUGGGACGCCACAAUAUUGAGGAGCUGUGACAAAGGAAAGCUGGUCUCACUGAAUAGGAAAACUUUGAUGAAAUAUAUCCUAUUCAUACCGUGGGACAGCUGUAAUGUGUAUCUAUUUUGCUCAUCAGUUCUGUUAAUAAUGGGAAUGCGAAAAUGGGCUGGAUGUUUGUCUAUAUGUCACCUGUGAUUGCCUCACGACCGGUCCAGAGUGUACCCUAUUUCUCUGGCCCCACCGUCAACUGGAAUAGGCCAGAGUUAAAACCUUAUGAGAACAAAAACCUAUAGAAAAUGUCUGGAUGGAAUUAGCACGGCAUUGGGGAAGUUGUUUGGAAAUGUGUACCGCUUCACACACAUGCACACACACGCACACACAGACACAACACACAGAGUACUGCUCUGUGUCAGGAAGUCGUCUCAGCUAAGUUUGCGGGCAUCAAAAGACGAUGCUUGGAUGCCGAGUUGUCUCGUAGGCUCCGGUCAGUCAGUCAGUAAUUAGCAGGGAUAUUUACGCCGGAUCUGUGACAUUUUGAAAACCAAAGCGGGCACGAAGACGUCAGGCGGAAUUACACACAUUUGCUGGGACGCUCAAAGGCUUUCAUAAAAAUAAAACAUAAUAAUAAGCUGCUGGGACAGCUUCCACCGACCCCACCAAAGAGGACGUCAAAGUUGGACACAUGAAAUGUUUGCACCUCUUUAUCUGAGAGCGGGAGAAGCCAAAGUGGUGUUAAGCACCACAGACACACACACACACACACGAUGGAAAGCCGUUUGAACAUUCAUUCCAUAUCCUUAAUAUCCAGCUUAAGGUCCAUGUACUAGUACGCUCUUUGUCCUCACUAGUAAGUAAAAUCAGAGCAUCGGUACAACGACUGUGUCUUACUAGUAACCAGUCCAGAACAGUCCAGUUGGAAUCAGUUCAAUGCCCUGAGAACUUUCUGGUAAAAAAUUAUUUUUCCCAUUCCUGUAAGACAAUUCUGCAAACUCUGCAAAAAGGAUGUGUUACUAGUGAGGCAAAUAACUAGUAUGCAUCCUAGUCCCUGCAAAUGUAGUCCUAUUAGUGAGGACAGAAAAUGUACUAGUACCUGGACCUUAAGCUAGAUAUCCAGGAUAUCAAAAAAAGCUCAAACAACUUUGUGGAAUUCCGUUUGAGCAUUUAUUAAAAAAUCAGGUCUUACUAGGAGGCCUAAAGUGCCACCAGUAGUGGGGAAAAUAUGUUGCUUGUAAAACAUGUCAUUUUACUAGUGCACUGAAUUGCAUUAAAUUACCAGUGAGGACAAAAAGCAUACUAGUUCAAGGCGAAAAGUGGCACUAGUCGUGGAAAAAACAUUAGUCCUAAGACACAGUCGUUCUACUAGUGCACCUUUUUGUUUUACUCGUAAGGACAAAAAGUGGUCCAUGAAACUUAAGAUGGAUAUCAAGGACAUCAAUUCCAUUUGAGCAUUUAUUCGAUAUCCAUGUUAGGUCUUACUAGUGAGCUAAAAGUAACACUAGUAGUGGAAACAACAUCGGUAGUAAGCUGAAUUGUCUUACUAGUGAGGACAAAGAGCAUACGAGUUCAUAAACCUUAAGCUGGAGAUCGAGUAUAUCGAAUAAAUGCUCAAACGGUUCUCCAUACACACCACACACACACCAACUGUUUGAAAGCACAGCUGUGCUUCCACAUGCUAAAUGCAAAUGAAGAAGGGGAAAAAAAAGAUUCCAAGAUUUGUCAUCAAUGAAGCCACAAGCUAGAGCUGGAAGCAAACUUCCGCGUUGCGUUUGAAGCGCGGCGUGAUGAGAAAAACACGACGUCUCGUUCUAACCUGCCAGCCGGCCGAUAACUGGGCCCGGCGUGGCGUCUCAUGUAUCAAAGACGAGGACAAAUGCCAGGCAGUGUCUCUCUGAGCUGGAAAGUUCACACGGAUGUUGCUCGCCUCCGCGCUUUCGAACCAACAUGCACGCUCACGCCGCCUUCAACACGGAUGACUUUGAGUCCAGCUGCUAAACACUGGCUGCACUAGGAGAUGGAACUAAGUAAAAGAUUUGCUGAGGACUUCUUCUCAGUUUUGAAUCCAGGGGUGGGAAAAGUAUUCUUUAAUCUGAUAUAUUAGCAGUCCUUUAAUAUUUAUGUGAAUUUAGCUGUUUUUCCUAAUAUGCAAUUGGUUAAUUGACGUGUAUUAAUUCAUUUUUGCAUUUUUGUAUUUUAUUUAUCUCAUUCAAUGAUUGGUAAAUGGAUGAUUUUACAAGAAAAAAAAAUUAGCCUAUUCAAAAUUUUUGGGGGAACCAAUUCUGUUAUUCAUUUGUGAUCAAGCCAAAGCCAAUGUUUCAUAUAAAAGUACUGCCUCUUCAAUCCAAAUUGUGAAUACAUUUUUGAAAAUUGUACACUUCCAACUUUGCGGGAACAGUUCUUAUCGAGGCAAAGUCCAAAAAGUCAUGCUGGCAGAAAGCCCUAACUUAAACUCCAUCAAACACCAUUCGGAUUAACUACACCUGACAUUUUACCCCCCAAAAUGUUCGCAAUAUUGGGCUUUUGGGUGACAUUUCUGGAUGAAAAUGCACUGUAACCUUUCCAGCUGAACUUUAUUUGACCGUGAAACUUUUAAAUGCAAGUUCAACUUUUCAAUGUUUCAGUAGUUCCACAGCAGGUGCUUAAUCUAUAAAUGGACUAAUAAAUGCCCUGUUUCAAUUACAAUUGCUAUUUGAACAAUCUUCAUCAUGUGGUUUACAUUUUGACAUUGUUAGACCAAGGCAACACAUAAGAAUUGAUCGACAAUAAGGGAAGUGUUCACUGAGCUUGGAGUGUCACACAGUGUCAUCACUAGUGAAUGCUCAUUUCUCCAAACGGGCCAUGCAAUUGGCGACAACGUCCAAAGUGUACCUCACUUCUCUGGCUCAAAGUCAACUGAGAUAGACUCAAGCUCACCCGACACCCUAAUGAGGACAAGUGUUUGGGUAGAUGGAAGGAGCUAUAAUGAGAAAAGUUUGGGACUCAAAAUUGAGCCCUGUGGGAUGUCACAAUCCAGUUGAGCUGGAGUCAGUUAAGGCUUAUCUCACUGAACAGGAGAAACAUCCAUCCAUCCAUCCAUUUUCUGAGCCGCUUCUCCUCACUAGGGUCGCGGGCGUGCUGGAGCCUAUCCCAGCGGUCAUCGGGCAGGAGGCGGGGUACACCCUGAACUGGUUGGGAGCCAAUCGCAGGGCACAUACAAACCAACAACCAGUUGCACUCACACCUACGGGCAAUUUAGAGUCUCCAAUUAAUGCAUGUUUUUGGGAUGUGGGAGGAAACCGGAGUUCCCGGAGAAAACCCACGCAGGCACGGGGAGAACAUGCAAACUCCACACAGGCGGGGACAGGGAUUGAAGCCAGGUCCUCAGAACUGUGAGGCUGACGCUCUAACCAGUUGGCCACCGUGCCGCCACAGGAAAAUCAAUGAAAUGUAUAUUUGAACCACGUCACCUCAGAAAUGCAUAGAAGUUGACGUCCUUGGAAAUUUCCAUUUUGCUCCGUGUUAGAGAACAGAAAAAGUAUUGAAAUAUUGAACAGUGUGAUGUAUGGUAAAAAUUGUAAGGUCAAAUUAAGUUCACCUAUGUUCAUCCUGAUAUUUCACCUUAACCCUUUGUGAGUAGUGUAACUUAAGCGUGAAGAAUCCAAACAGACGCUUGUCCGCCCAACACUGGCAGAAACACUUACAUACAAACAAAAACAACAUAUCGUCAUAUGUGUGAAUGGCUCACGAGGACAAUCUCCAUGUGUGUACAUUUAGAUGUGUAAAUGUGUGUAUUUAUCAGUCUGUCUCCAAGUCAAUGUAAAAACCCACGACCCCAUCUUAAGUGUUUUCCAGAGGCGAGCAGUCCAAACUGGGAUGUGCGGAUUCAUGUGCUGUGAUGCCGAUAGGGCGCCACGGGUCCAUUCUUCUCAUUCUUCUUAAUGUGAUAUUAAUGAUAAUGUGGGGCGCACUUGCCAGUGCUAUUUGUGGCUACGUUACUCAAGUGAAUUUACUUCAUUAUCGACGUUGAACUGCUGUGCAAUUGCCAAUUUAAGAGAGCACCACAGUUUUUCUUUUAAAAAAGAAAGAAACAAACAAAGAGAGAAAGGAUAUAGUGUCAGCUAUUAAUCAGUUUUGCAGAUUGUAUGAUGACUUUCUUGGGAAAAAAAGCACCAAAAUAUUAAUAAUAUUACUGGGAAAGCAAAGAUGGUUAGUCAUUUAAAAAUGGACAUAGUAAAAUUGUGUGAAUUGUCCUAUAAGUGGGAGGAAUUUUUAAAAUUGUAAUUAUGCUUUUCAAAUGGUGUAAUAUUAAUUUUAUGAAGUUUUUAAAUUGUGUAAGUAUUGUAAUGUCCAAGUCUUCCAAGCCUCCGCAUUGGCACCCCAAACACCCGAGGACUUCCUCAUGGCCAGACAGCCUUGUACAGUAUCAGUGUGCAAAACUCUUUAACAAGCGUAUUCGAAAGCAAGUACGUGUGUGUGUGUGUGUGUGUGUGUGUGUGUGUGUAUGAGGGGGGAAAUGUGGUGUAAUGUUUUUUGUUUGUUUUGUUUUUGCCGUGUUCUCUUGUGUCAUCGUCUUGCAUGUGACCCCUGACCCGAUGCCUUCUCUCUGUCUUCCAUCUGUAGCUAUGACAUUGACCUGGAUCAUGUAAAUAAAGCCAGUACUGUA